UACAGAGGUCCCAAGCGUUGUUCGGAUUCAUUGGGCGUAAAGGGUGCGUAGGCGGUCUGCUAAGUUUGGUGUGAAAUCCCGGGGCUCAACCCUGGAAUGGCAUUGAAUACUGGCGGACUAGAGUACCGGAGAGGAAACUGGAAUUUACGGUGUAGCAGUGAAAUGCGUAGAGAUCGUAAGGAAGACCAGUGGCGAAGGCGAGUUUCUGGACGGUAACUGACGCUGAGGCACGAAGGCCAGGGGAGCAAACGGG
rnacentral:rRNA from 1 species